rnacentral:lncRNA from 1 species
CUAAAAUCCACACAUCUAUGAGCUUUCUUUCUUAAUCUAAAAUCUGGAGCUCUCUUCUCUUUGAUUUCAGGAAAGAGGAAUCAAUGCCAAGACUCAAUAUUAGAAAAACGAAUGGGCAUGCACGACACAUCAGUGAAGGAACAAUGAAAAAUGAGCGCAUAAAGGAAUCAAAGAGUCUGCUGCACCACCCUGAAGACCUGGGCUACUUUCAUCAUUGUCAUGUUUGCUGUUUGUUUGUUUGUUUGUUUAUACUUACCCUGCCUAUUCCAGUAAGAUUUAAGGCAGCUGUCUCUCAUUUUCUUAGCCUCCAAUAUACACGCACUUUAUUUAUUUUGUGAUCAGUGAUUUAAAUUAUUAUAUUCCAGACCAUAGCAUAUGAUUGUGAAGCCAUUUUUAGUCUUGCUUUUUAAAUUCAUCGGAACUGAGAUUGUGUGUUUCUGUGUGUGUGUGUGUGUGUGAGAGAGAGAGAGAUUCUUUAUUUACAGGCACAACUACACAAGUAAACCCACUCUGCAAGAGCAGAAAUGAAAAUCUGCAGAGAUUAGGAGAUUAGAGAAUCCAAAAACAGAGAUAAGAGGCAGGAUUUCAAGAGAAAACCAGAAGUAAAUUUUACGUAAAAUUCCAAAAUAUUGCUUCAAAUCUGAACUGACUCAAAUAUACCAGAUAAAUAUGGAUGCAUCCUGAUACUGUCAGGAUGUCAACAGCUCCCAAAUUCCCAUGACAAAGAUUUCAUAGACUGUUGGUAUGAGGGCAUUGGAAUUAAAUCCAGUAGUUCUUGACUGUGAGUUUAUAGAUAUUUUUGAAACUUUAAUGCAAUUUUUAAUUGCAAAUAUAAAAAAAACCUCUACACACUACUUUAGGAGACCCCUCAAAUCCUUUCAUGGACCACAGAUUCAGAGAAGAUGACCUUGUGCCCUUAACCCACAAGGAAACUAAGAUGCAUAGUAUAAAACUGAUAUGACCGGUGUCACCCAGCCAUGAUUCCAUUACUUGAAGAUGCUUCUGAAAUUUG